GUGCAUGUAGCUCAGUGGAUAGGGCGUCUAUUUCCUAAGCUGAAGGUCGUAGGUUCGACCCCUACUUGGCGUG
rfam:Nicotiana attenuata strain TT chromosome 6, whole genome shotgun sequence.